UACGUAGGUGGCAAGCGUUAUCCGGAAUUAUUGGGCGUAAAGGGUGCGUAGGCGGUUCGAUAAGUCUAAGGUGAAAGUUCGGAGCUUAACUCCGGAUUGCCUUAGAAACUGUCAGACUAGAGUGCAGGAGAGGGCAAUGGAAUUCCAUGUGUAGCGGUAAAAUGCGUAGAUAUAUGGAGGAACACCAGUGGCGAAGGCGGUUGCCUGGCCUGUAACUGACGCUGAAGCACGAAAGCGUGGGGAGCAAAUAGG
rnacentral:rRNA from 1 species